rnacentral:rRNA from 1 species
CCUACGGGUGGCAGCAGUGAGGAAUAUUGGUCAAUGGGCGAGAGCCUGAACCAGCCAAGUCGCGUGAGGGAGUACUGCCCUAUGGGUUGUAAACCUCUUUUGUCGGGGAGCAAAAGCCGGACGUGUCCGGCUGUGAGAGUACCCGAAGAAAAAGCAUCGGCUAACUCCGUGCCAGCAGCCGCGGUAAUACGGAGGAUGCGCGCGUUAUCCGGAUUUAUUGGGUUUAAAGGGUGCGCAGGCGGAUUUUUAAGUCAGCGGUAAAAUCGUGGGGCUCAACCCCAUCCAGCCGUUGAAACUGGGGAUCUAGAGUGUGCGAGAGGUAUGCGGAAUGCGUGGUGUAGCGGUGAAAUGCAUAGAUAUCACGCAGAACCCCGAUUGCGAAGGCAGCAUACCGGUGCACAACUGACGCUCAGGCACGAAAGCGUGGGUAUCGAACAGGAUUAGAUACCCCAGUAGUC